AGUGAACGCUGGCGGUAGGCCUAACACAUGCAAGUCGAACGGCAGCACAGUAAGAGCUUGCUCUUACGGGUGGCGAGUGGCGGACGGGUGAGGAAUACAUCGGAAUCUACUUUUUCGUGGGGAAUAACGUAGGGAAACUUACGCUAAUACCGCAUACGACCUACGGGUGAAAGCAGGGGAUCUUCGGACCUUGCGCGAUUGAAUGAGCCGAUGUCGGAUUAGCUAGUUGGCGGGGUAAAGGCCCACCAAGGCGACGAUCCGUAGCUGGUCUGAGAGGAUGAUCAGCACACUGGAACUGAGACACGGUCCAGACUCCUACGGGAGGCAGCAGUGGGGAAUAUUGGACAAUGGGCGCAAGCCUGAUCCAGCCAUACCGCGUGGGUGAAGAAGGCCUUCGGGUUGUAAAGCCCUUUUGUUGGGAAAGAAAAGCAGCAGGUUAAUACCCCGCUGUUCUGACGGUACCCAAAGAAUAAGCACCGGCUAACUUCGUG
rnacentral:rRNA from 1 species